rnacentral:tRNA from 1 species
GGCUGCGCCCGGAGAAGCCCUGGAGCGGUGCCGGAGGACGCGGGUUCGAUUCCCGCCACCUCCA